rnacentral:rRNA from 1 species
UACGUAGGGUGCAAGCGUUAUCCGGAAUUAUUGGGCGUAAAGAGCUCGUAGGCGGUUUGUCGCGUCUGCUGUGAAAACUGGAGGCUCAACCUCCAGCCUGCAGUGGGUACGGGCAGACUAGAGUGCGGUAGGGGAGACUGGAAUUCCUGGUGUAGCGGUGGAAUGCGCAGAUAUCAGGAGGAACACCAAUAGCGAAGGCAGCUCGCUGGGACGUUACUGACACUGAGGCGCGAAAGCGUGGGGAGCGAACAGGA